rnacentral:rRNA from 1 species
GUUUGAGUGGGGGAGUAACUAGCCGAAAGGUUAGCUAAUACCGCAUACGUCUCCGAGGGGCAUCCCUUGGCGAUAAAAGGAGCAAUCCGCUCGAUGACGGGACCGCGUCCCAUUAGCUAGAUGGUGGGGUAACGGCCUACCAUGGCUCCGAUGGGUAGCUGGUUUGAGAGAGCGACCAGCCACACUGGGACUGAGAAACGGCCCAG